UGAGACAACCUUUUAUGUCCUUGAGAAAGAUUAUAUCUGUUAUAUUAAGAUUGUGUUUAAAAUUUAAAUUUGUAGAGAAAUUUUUUAAUAUUUUGGACUUUAUAUUCAUUGUUAACCCAUAAAAUUCUACACGUAUGCUUGUGGUCUUCUGUAAACUAGCAUGACAGAUCGACGAUGCUCUAGGCAGAGGCAACAUUCAGCCUCUGCAAAUUCUGAGAGUUCUUACAGUGGGAGUGCAGAUGAGAGUUCUUAUAGUGGAAGUUCAGAUGAGAGUUCAGAGGAGAGUACACGCAUCAUACCUGAUCCACCCAUGUCAUGGUAUCCUCCAGGUAGCUUGCCUAGUACAUCAUCGAGUACUGGUUCGACACAUGACACUACUGCUGGUCAUAGUUCGAGAGGCCCAACACUCAUGCAUGGUAGUGAUUGGAACCCAAGUGGUGGCAUUUUACAUAUUGUGCCUAAUGAGUUGAACCAAGUGGUUGACGGGUAUACACCCUUGGCUUCUUGUUUGGGUGUUUUAGCUUGAGAUGGGAACCUUAUGCCCCUCACUUAUAGAACUUGGAGCCAUGUACCGAAGGAAAACAAAGACAGAAUUUGGAGAGAAGUAAAGAUCAAUACAGAUGCCGACGAGUCAAUGAAGAAAUUUGUUUUGGCAUCUGUUGGAAAAAAAUGGAGAGAGUGGAAGGCUAGAGUUAAACAAUUGGGGUAUACACCAUUCGACAACGAUGCUGAUAGGUUAACUCAUCGGCCCGAAAGAGUACAUGAACAUCAAUGGCGAAGCUUAGUCUAUUAUUGGGGCACUCGGAAGGCACAGAAAAAAAGUAUAAAAAACAAAGCAAUUCGGAAGAAGAAGACAUUAAAUCACAUAACUGGAAGAAAACCAUUCUCAGUUGUUUGAGUAGAGGAAACUAAUAAGAAGAAUGGAGUUCCUGCAACUCGCUUAGAGGUGUGGAUGGCUGGGUACACGAAGGAUAACAAACCAAGUAAUGAUAAAGUUGUUGCGGUCAUGACACAAAUGAAGGACCUUGGGGCGCAAUCCAAUGCUACAGAUGAAGAAAUUAUCACACAGGUUCCAGGGCCUGAGCGACCUGGUCGUGUUCGAACAUAUAGAUUGGGUCCUUCCCCGACAGAUGUCUUUGGAGGCGGAUAUAGGUAAUCGCAAGAACAAACUCGUAUCAUCCAAACGCAAGUCCAAGAGCAACUUAACCAAAAUAAAGCACAAAUGGAGAUGCAAAUGAAGGAGAUGAUGGACGCUAUGCUUAAUCAACAGAAAGUACAAAUGGAGAUGCAAAGCACAAUCCAAGCUCAACAAGCCCGAAUAGAGCAAUUGGAGUCUCAACAGGCCAUGGGUGGGCCUGUUGCACCAGCUGCUACACAUGUGCAUUCACAACAACAAUCCCAUGCAUACACCUCAUCAUUUAAUUGUCAUCGUUCGUCCGAGGAAGU